rnacentral:tRNA from 1 species
GCGGAAAUGCUGGAAUUGGCAGACAGGCAUGACUAAGGAUCAUGUGGUCCCCGACCGUGAGGGUUCAAGUCCCUUUUUCCGCA